UAGGGAAUCUUCCACAAUGGGCGAAAGCCUGAUGGAGCAACGCCGCGUGAGUGAUGAAGGCCUUCGGGUUGUAAAACUCUGUCAUUCGGGACGAACCGGAGUCUGAGGAAAUGCAGACUCUCUGACGGUACCGGAGGAGGAAGCCCCGGCUAACUACGUGCCAGCAGCCGCGGUAAUACGUAGGGGGCAAGCGUUGUCCGUAUUCACUGGGCGUAAAGCGCGCGCAGGCGGUGAUGUACGUCUGAGGUGAAAACCCGAAGCUAAACUUCGGGACGGCCUUGGAUACUGCGUCACUUGAGGAUAGGAGAGGCAAGGGGAAUUCCACGUGUAGCGGUGAAAUGCGUAGAGACGUGGAGGAACACCGGUGGCGAAGGGGCCUUGCUGGCCUAUUUCUGACGCUGAGGCGCGAAAGCGGGGGGAGCAAACAGG
rnacentral:rRNA from 1 species